UUUUCCUUUAUUUAUGUGUAUUUGUUGCUACUGCUUUCAUAUUUUUCCUUUUACCAUACGUGUUCUUCUGUGCUUCUAUAUCUAUUGUUUUCCUACUGUGUUUCUAUACCAUGCUCACAUGUUUAUCUCACUAUAUUUUCCUAUAUGCUUUUUGCUAUACUUUUCCAGUGUUCUUGUGUUCUCCUACUGUACUUCUUUUACUAAGUUCUUAAGUCCCUUCUGAAAGGUUUCUUAAACAUGUUUCUUCUACUAUCAUGUUGUUCUCUCAUCGUGCUUUGAGUUAGUUCCUCCACUCGG
rnacentral:lncRNA from 1 species